AUUGAACGCUGGCGGCAGGCCUAACACAUGCAAGUCGAGCGGAUGAAGGGAGCUUGCUCCUGGAUUCAGCGGCGGACGGGUGAGUAAUGCCUAGGAAUCUGCCUGGUAGUGGGGGAUAACGUCCGGAAACGGGCGCUAAUACCGCAUACGUCCUGAGGGAGAAAGUGGGGGAUCUUCGGACCUCACGCUAUCAGAUGAGCCUAGGUCGGAUUAGCUAGUUGGUGGGGUAAAGGCCUACCAAGGCGACGAUCCGUAACUGGUCUGAGAGGAUGAUCAGUCACACUGGAACGGAGACACGGACCAGACGCCUACGGGAGGAAGCAGUGGGGAAUAUUGGACAAUGGGCGAAAGCCUGAUCCAGCCAUGCCGCGUGUGUGAAGAAGGUCUUCGGAUUGUAAAGCACUUUAAGUUGGGAGGAAGGGCAGUAAGUUAAUACCUUGCUGUUUUGACGUUACCAACAGAAUAAGCACCGGCUAACUUCGUG
rnacentral:rRNA from 1 species